GAUGAACGCUGGCGGCGUGCCUAAUACAUGCAAGUCGAGCGAACAGACGAGGAGCUUGCUCCUCUGACGUUAGCGGCGGACGGGUGAGUAACACGUGGAUAACCUACCUAUAAGACUGGGAUAACUUCGGGAAACCGGAGCUAAUACCGGAUAAUAUAUUGAACCGCAUGGUUCAAUAGUGAAAGACGGUUUUGCUGUCACUUAUAGAUGGAUCCGCGCCGCAUUAGCUAGUUGGUAGGGUAACGGCUUACCAAGGCAACGAUGCGUAGCCGACCUGAGAGGUGAAUCGGCACCACGGGACCUGGAACACGUCCAAGCCUCCAACGGGAGGCAGCAGGAGGGAUUCUUCCGCAAUGGGCGAAAGCUUGACGGAGCAACGCCGCGGGAGUGAUGAAGGUCUCCGGAUCGUAAAACUCUGUUAUUAGGGAAGAACAAAUGUGUAAGUAACUAUGCACGUCUUGACGGUACCUAAGCAGAAAGCCCCGGCUAACUACGU
rnacentral:rRNA from 1 species